CAUUAGAGAUACCUCCGAAUUGCGUCCUUCGCAACUUCACCUACUCAUAUUCCACGAGAGUAUCAGGAACGAUAAAUGGUCCCUGUCUCAAACAUUCACAACUUGUGCCGCCAGACUGCUUUGCCACUUUUUUAGUUGUCCAAGGAUUAGCAUCAAAUGUUUCUGCCACUCCCUACUUUAGCAAUAUUGCUGUAGGAACACUUGAUAUGAUGACAGGUGUGAUAACGGGUUCAACAAAUUUAGUAGUUGGCAUGAACACACCGAUUGCUGGAACGACGGUUACGAGAAAUAAGGUACCGCUCCUUACAAAGGCGUUUUCACUGUUGAAAGCGUCAAUUUUUUGCUAGGUGCCGAUCCAGGCUUGGGUGCCUGUCUAAUGUUAACUGCCAGCGGUAGUAGUGUUGGAGCAAAAGUUUUUCUCUCAAUUGGAUAUGAUCCUUAGAAAACAGAAAAUAAAAUAGAUAAUAUUUUAUUUUAGUAAAAAAAUUUUUGAAAAAAUAUCGUUUGUCAAUCGUUACAUAAAUGAAAAUGUUUGAAUUUUUAAUGAUUACUUUAUAUUAUACCAAUCAUUAUUUCAACUUUUACAUUUUUUAAAUUUUAAUUUUCUCUACACGCUUUUUUUAUAAUUUCUCUCUCUUACAACCUUUAAAUGUAUAAUUAUCAAAAAUAGAAAUGACAAAUUUUAUCUCUUAAAUUCCCCUUCUUAUAAGAAAAUUUUUUUAUUUAAAUUAUCGAAUUGAAUUGAGGUAAUUAAAAUUAAGAGAAUUAUUAAGGCAUAAUACAUUUUUUCGAUAUUAUCAUUUA